rnacentral:rRNA from 1 species
UUAAGCGACCAAGCGUACACGGUGGAUGCCCUGGCAGUCAGAGGCGAUGAAGGACGUGCUAAUCUGCGAUAAGCGCCGGUAAGGUGAUAUGAACCGUUAUAACCGGCGAUUUCCGAAUGGGGAAACCCAGUGUGAUUCGUCACACUAUCAUUAACUGAAUCCAUAGGUUAAUGAGGCGAACCGGGGGAACUGAAACAUCUAAGUACCCCGAGGAAAAGAAAUCAACCGAGAUUCCCCCAGUAGCGGCGAGCGAACGGGGAGGAGCCCAGAGCCUGAAUCAGCAUGUGUGUUAGUGGAAGCGUCUGGAAAGGCGCGCGAUACAGGGUGACAGCCCCGUACACAAAAGCGCAUAUGCUGUGAGCUCGAUGAGUAGGGCGGGACACGUGGUAUCCUGUCUGAAUAUGGGGGGACCAUCCUCCAAGGCUAAAUACUCCUGACUGACCGAUAGUGAACCAGUACCGUGAGGGAAAGGCGAAAAGAACCCCGGCGAGGGGAGUGAAACAGAACCUGAAACCGUGUACGUACAAGCAGUGGGAGCACAGGUUUACCUGUGUGACUGCGUACCUUUUGUAUAAUGGGUCAGCGACUUAUAUUCUGUAGCAAGGUUAACCGUAUAGGGGAGCCGAAGGGAAACCGAGUCUUAACCGGGCGUUAAGUUGCAGGGUAUAGACCCGAAACCCGGUGAUCUAGCCAUGGGCAGGUUGAAGGUUGGGUAACACUAACUGGAGGACCGAACCGACUAAUGUUGAAAAAUUAGCGGAUGACCUGUGGCUGGGGGUGAAAGGCCAAUCAAACCGGGAGAUAGCUGGUUCUCCCCGAAAGCUAUUUAGGUAGCGCCUCGUGAAUUCAUCUCCGGGGGUAGAGCACUGUUUCGGCUAGGGGGCCAUCCCGGCUUACCAACCCGAUGCAAACUGCGAAUACCGGAGAAUGUUAUCACGGGAGACACACGGCGGGUGCUAACGUCCGUCGUGAAGAGGGAAACAACCCAGACCGCCAGCUAAGGUCCCAAAGUCAUGGUUAAGUGGGAAACGAUGUGGGAAGGCCCAGACAGCCAGGAUGUUGGCUUAGAAGCAGCCAUCAUUUAAAGAAAGCGUAAUAGCUCACUGGUCGAGUCGGCCUGCGCGGAAGAUGUAACGGGGCUAAACCAUGCACCGAAGCUGCGGCAGCGACGCUUAUGCGUUGUUGGGUAGGGGAGCGUUCUGUAAGCCUGCGAAGGUGGCCUGUGAGGGUUGCUGGAGGUAUCAGAAGUGCGAAUGCUGACAUAAGUAACGAUAAAGCGGGUGAAAAGCCCGCUCGCCGGAAGACCAAGGGUUCCUGUCCAACGUUAAUCGGGGCAGGGUGAGUCGACCCCUAAGGCGAGGCCGAAAGGCGUAGUCGAUGGGAAACGGGUUAAUAUUCCCGUACUUGGUGUUACUGCGAAGGGGGGACGGAGAAGGCUAUGUUGGCCGGGCGACGGUUGUCCCGGUUUAAGCGUGUAGGCUGACUUUCCAGGCAAAUCCGGAGAGUCAAGGCUGAGGCGUGACGACGAGGCACCACGGUGCUGAAGCAACAAAUGCCCUGCUUCCAGGAAAAGCCUCUAAGCAUCAGGUAACAUCAAAUCGUACCCCAAACCGACACAGGUGGUCAGGUAGAGAAUACCAAGGCGCUUGAGAGAACUCGGGUGAAGGAACUAGGCAAAAUGGUGCCGUAACUUCGGGAGAAGGCACGCUGACAUGUAGGUGAAGUGGUUUACCCAUGGAGCUGAAGUCAGUCGAAGAUACCAGCUGGCUGCAACUGUUUAUUAAAAACACAGCACUGUGCAAACACGAAAGUGGACGUAUACGGUGUGACGCCUGCCCGGUGCCGGAAGGUUAAUUGAUGGGGUCAGCGCAAGCGAAGCUCCUGAUCGAAGCCCCGGUAAACGGCGGCCGUAACUAUAACGGUCCUAAGGUAGCGAAAUUCCUUGUCGGGUAAGUUCCGACCUGCACGAAUGGCGUAAUGAUGGCCAGGCUGUCUCCACCCGAGACUCAGUGAAAUUGAACUCGCUGUGAAGAUGCAGUGUACCCGCGGCAAGACGGAAAGACCCCGUGAACCUUUACUAUAGCUUGACACUGAACAUUGAGCCUUGAUGUGUAGGAUAGGUGGGAGGCUUUGAAGCGUGGACGCCAGUCUGCGUGGAGCCAACCUUGAAAUACCACCCUUUAAUGUUUGAUGUUCUAACGUGGACCCGUGAUCCGGGUUGCGGACAGUGUCUGGUGGGUAGUUUGACUGGGGCGGUCUCCUCCUAAAGAGUAACGGAGGAGCACGAAGGUUGGCUAAUCCUGGUCGGACAUCAGGAGGUUAGUGCAAUGGCAUAAGCCAGCUUGACUGCGAGCGUGACGGCGCGAGCAGGUGCGAAAGCAGGUCAUAGUGAUCCGGUGGUUCUGAAUGGAAGGGCCAUCGCUCAACGGAUAAAAGGUACUCCGGGGAUAACAGGCUGAUACCGCCCAAGAGUUCAUAUCGACGGCGGUGUUUGGCACCUCGAUGUCGGCUCAUCACAUCCUGGGGCUGAAGUAGGUCCCAAGGGUAUGGCUGUUCGCCAUUUAAAGUGGUACGCGAGCUGGGUUUAGAACGUCGUGAGACAGUUCGGUCCCUAUCUGCCGUGGGCGCUGGAGAACUGAGGGGGGCUGCUCCUAGUACGAGAGGACCGGAGUGGACGCAUCACUGGUGUUCGGGUUGUCAUGCCAAUGGCACUGCCCGGUAGCUAAAUGCGGAAGAGAUAAGUGCUGAAAGCAUCUAAGCACGAAACUUGCCCCGAGAUGAGUUCUCCCUGAGACUUAGAGUCUCCUGAAGGAACGUUGAAGACGACGACGUUGAUAGGCCGGGUGUGUAAGCGCAGCGAUGCGUUGAGCUAACCGGUACUAAUGAACCGUGAGGCUUAACCUU